CAGGAACACGUGCACCAGGUAAUGCUAAUGAUGCCACAGAAGUUUUCAUGGAGGCAACAAAACUGGCUUGGAGCAACUGAGGUACAGAAGAAAACUUAAGAGUGUGUGGAUAGUGCAAAGAGAGAUCCAAGACUUUGGGUGAAGCUGGCUGGCAUUGUUAAGAAGAUGUUGGUUCACAGAAAUGAUAUAGAGACAAAUUAUGCAUCAUGAAAAUAUUUUCUUCCUCUUUAUACUUCUAGACUAUCAAUCAGGUUGACUUAGAAGUUCAGCAAUUGAGUUGCAAGAAGUAAAUAUUUAAAUUCACAGUG